CCUACGGGAGGCAGCAGUGGGGAAUAUUGCACAAUGGGGGAAACCCUGAUGCAGCGACGCCGCGUGAGUGAAGAAGUAUCUCGGUACGUAAAGCUCUAUCAGCAGGGAAGAAAAUGACGGUACCUGACUAAGAAGCCCCGGCUAACUACGUGCCAGCAGCCGCGGUAAUACGUAGGGGGCAAGCGUUAUCCGGAUUUACUGGGGGUAAAGGGAGCGUAGACGGCAGUACAAGUCUGGAGUGAAAUCCCGGGGCUUAACCCCGGAACUGCUUGUGAGACUGUGCGGCUGGAGUGCAGGAGGGGUAAGCGGAAUUCCGAGUGUAGCGGUGAAAUGCGUAGAUAUUAGGAGGAACACCGGUGGCGAAGGCGGCUUACUGGACUGUAACUGACGUUGAGGCUCGAAAGUGUGGGUAUCAAACAGGAUUAGAUACCCCAGUAGUC
rnacentral:rRNA from 1 species